GUCGAACGAUGAAGCUGGAGCUUGCUCCGGUGGAUUAGUGGCGAACGGGUGAGUAGCACGUGAGAAAUCUGCCCCUGACUCUGGGAUAACUGCGGGAAACUGUAGCUAAUACCGGAUACUUUCCCUGGUGGGCAUCCACUGGGGAAGAAAGAAUUUCGGUCAGGGAGGAUCUCGCGGCCUAUCAGCUAGUUGGUGAGGUAACGGCUCACCAAGGCGACGACGGGUAACCGGCCUGAGAGGGUGACCGGUCACACUGGGACUGAGACACGGCCCAGACUCCUACGGGAGGCAGCAGUGGGGAAUAUUGCACAAUGGGCGCAAGCCUGAUGCAGCAACGCCGCGUGAGGGAUGAAGGCCUCUGGGCUGUAAACCUCUUUUCUCAAGGAAGAAGAUCUGACGGUACUUGAGGAAUAAGCCACGGCUAAUUCCGUGCCAGCAGCCGCGGUAAUACGGGAGUGGCAAGCGUUAUCCGGAAUUAUUGGGCGUAAAGCGUCCGCAGGCGGCCUGAAAAGUCUGCUGUUAAAGCGUGGAGCUUAACUCCAUUUCAGCAGUGGAAACUGUCAGGCUUGAGUGUGGUAGGGGCAGAGGGAAUUCCCGGUGUAGCGGUGAAAUGCGUAGAUACCGGGAAGAACACCAGUGGCGAAAGCGCUCUGCUGGGCCAUAACUGACGCUCAUGGACGAAAGCCAGGGGAGCGAAAGGGAUUAGAUACCCCUGUAGUCCUGGCCGUAAACGAUGAACACUAGGUGUCGGGGGGAUCGACCCCCUCGGUGUCGUAGCCAACGCGUUAAGUGUUCCGCCUGGGGGAGUACGCACGCAAGUGUGAAACUCAAAGGAAUUGACGGGGGCCCGCACAAGCGGUGGAGUAUGUGGUUUAAUUCGAUGCAACGCGAAAAC
rnacentral:rRNA from 1 species